rnacentral:rRNA from 1 species
AGAGUUUGAUCCUGGCUCAGGAUGAACGCUAGCUACAGGCUUAACACAUGCAAGUCAAGGGGCAGCAUGAACAUAUCUUGCUAAGUAUGAUGGCGACCGGCGCACGGGUGAGUAACACUUAUCCAACCUGCCGAUGACUCGGGGAUAGCCUUUCCAAAGAAAGAUUAAUACCCGAUGGCAUAGUUCUUCCGCAUGGAGGAACUAUUAAAGAAUUUCGGUCAUCGAUGCGGGAUGCGUUCCAUUAGGUUGUUGGCGGGGUAACGGCCCACCAAGCCUUCGAUGGAUAGGGGUUCUGAGAGGAAGGUCCCCCACAUUGGAACUGACACACGGUCCAAACUCCUACGGGAGGCAGCAGUGAGGAAUAUUGGUCAAUGGACAAGAGUCUGAACCAGCCAAGUAGCGUGAAGGAUGACUGCCCUAUGGGUUGUAAACUUCUUUUAUAUGGGAAUAAAGUGAGGCACGUGUGCCUUUUUGUAUGUACCGUAUGAAUAAGGAUCGGCUAACUCCGUGCCAGCAGCCGCGGAAAUACGGAGGAUCCGAGCGUUAUCCGGAUUUAUUGGGUUUUAAAGGGAGCGUAAGGGGGACGGCUUAAGUCAGUUGUAGAAAGUUUGCGGCUCAACCGUAAAAUUGCAGUUUGAUACUGGGUGUCUUGAGUACAGUAGAGGCAGGCGGAAUUGGUGGUGUAGCGGUGAAAUGCUUAGAUAUCAGGAAGAACUCCGAUUGCGAAGGCAGCUUGCUGGACUGUAACUGACGAUGAUGCUCGAAAGUGUGGGUAUCAAAACAGGAUUAGAUACCCUGGUAGUCCACACAGUAAACGAUGAAUACUCGCUGUUUGCGAUAUACAGUAAGCGGCCAAGCGAAAGCGUUCAGUAUUCCACCUGGGGAGUACGCCGGCAACGGUGAAACUCAAAGGAAUUGACGGGGGCCCGCACAAGCGGAGGAACAUGUGGUUUAAUUUGAUGAUACGCGAGGAACCUUACCCGGGCUUGAACUGCAAUCUGAAUGAUGUGGAGACAUGUCACCCGCAAGGCAGUUGUGAAGGUGCUGCAUGGUUGUCGUCAGCUCGUGCCGUGAGGUGUCGGUUUAAGUGCCAUAACGAGCGCAACCCUUAUCGAUAGUUACCAUCAGGUUAUCCUGGGGAGUCUGUCGAGUCUCGCACGUCGUAAGAUGUGAGGAAGGUGGGGAUGACGUCAAAUCAGCACGGCCCUUACGUCCGGGGCUACACACGUGUUACAAUGGGGGGUACCGAAGGCAGCUACACGGCGUCGCGAUGCUAAUCCCGAAAGCCUCUCUCAGUUCGGAUCGGAGUCUGCAACCCGACUCCAUGAAGCUGGAUUCUCUAGUAAUCGCGCAUCAGCCACGGCGCGGUGAAUACGUUCCCGGCCCUUGCACUCACCGCCCGUCA